GCCCUAGUAGCUUACACCCAAAGCAUUGUUCUUGUAAACCAAAGACGGUUUCCUUACCCUAGAGCA
rnacentral:tRNA from 2 species